UUGGUGAUGAUGGCAGAGAGGUCACACCCGUUCCCAUACCGAACACGGAAGUUAAGCUCUCUAGCGCCGAUGGUAGUUGGGACCUUGUCCCUGUGAGAGUAGGACGUCGCCAAGCUAU
rnacentral:rRNA from 4 species